AAAUGGCACCCUGAAGGCAUUACUAGCAACAGAGUUUACAAAAAAAAUGUAUAUAUAAAUAUACAUAUAAAUAUAUAUUUAUAUAUACAUUUUUUUUUUUAGUAAACUGUGUUGCUAGUAAUGCCUUCAGGGUGCCAUUU